rnacentral:rRNA from 1 species
AGCGAACGCUGGCGGCAGGCUUAACACAUGCAAGUCGAGCGCCCACUUCGGUGGGAGCGGCAGACGGGUGAGUAACACGUGGGAACGUGCCCUUCAGUUCGGGAACAACCCAGGGAAACUUGGGCUAAUACCGGAUACGCCCUUACGGGGAAAGAUUUAUCGCUGAAGGAUCGGCCCGCGUCUGAUUAGCUAGUUGGUGGGGUAAUGGCCCACCAAGGCUACGAUCAGUAGCUGGCCUGAGAGGAUGAUCAGCCACACUGGGACUGAGACACGG